rnacentral:rRNA from 1 species
UACAGAGGGUGCGAGCGUUAAUCGGAAUUACUGGGCGUAAAGCGCGCGUAGACGGUUUGGUAAGUCCAGAUGUGAAAUCCCCGGGCUCAACCUGGGAACUGGCAUUUGAUACUGCCUGGCUAGAGUAUCGAAGAGGGAAGUGGAAUUUCCGGUGUAGCGGUGAAAUGCGUAGAUAAUCGGAAGGAACACCAGUGGCGAAAGCGACUUCCUGGUCGAAUACUGACGUUCGAUGUGCGAAAGCGUGGGGAGCAAACAGG